ensembl:lncRNA
GUGAAGUAUCGUACCAAAGGCUCAACAUGGUCGUUUUUGGAGGAUAAUUAUCGUGUAUCUGGCAACAUUGAGAUCGGUCGACCAAUGACUGUUCUCUCUACAGUCAGAGCUCGCGAAAGAAGGUGGAACGUAAGCGAGACACCAUUUCCAAAACUGUUUUCCGGACCUACACUUGCAGAAAGCAACCAUGUAAUGCCUCAGGAGUCUGUAGAGGGGACGAAGACGCAUUCUGCUGCACUUAACAGAGCUCAAGACCAACGGGACGCCAUCAGGACGGCAUCAGGACGCCACGUCAUCGGGACGGCAUCAGGACACCACGUCAUCGGGACGCCAUCAGGACGCCGCAUCAACCCCUCAGGAGCAAAUCCAGAUCUACUCAUGAAACCCACACACACCCACACACACGUACACACACACACACACACACAGAGAUGUACUCACAGACACCCUUACAUUUGGGUCUAAACUAAGACACACAC